rnacentral:rRNA from 1 species
AGCGAACGCUGGCGGCAGGCUUAACACAUGCAAGUCGAGCGGGCGUAGCAAUACGUCAGCGGCAGACAGGUGAGUAACGCGUGGGAACGUACCUUUUGGUUCGGAACAACACAGGGAAACUUGUGCUAAUACCGGAUAAGCCCUUACGGGGAAAGAUUUAUCGCCGAAAGAUCGGCCCGCGUCUGAUUAGCUAGUUGGUGAGGUAACGGCUCACCAAGGCGACGAUCAGUAGCUGGUCUGAGAGGAUGAUCAGCCACAUUGGGACUGAGACACGGCCCAAACUCCUACGGGAGGCAGCAGUGGGGAAUAUUGGACAAUGGGGGCAACCCUGAUCCAGCCAUGCCGCGUGAGUGAUGAAGGCCCUAGGGUUGUAAAGCUCUUUUGUGCGGGAAGAUAAUGACGGUACCGCAAGAAUAAGCCCCGGCUAACUUCGUG